ACUCCUACGGGAGGCAGCAGUGGGGAAUAUUGGACAAUGGGCGCAAGCCUGAUCCAGCCAUACCGCGUGUGUGAAGAAGGCCUUAGGGUUGUAAAGCACUUUCAGAAGGGAGGAAAGGUUGAUGUUUAAUACGCAUUAGCUGUGACGUUAC
rnacentral:rRNA from 1 species